rnacentral:misc_RNA from 1 species
GUAAAUGGACUGAAGAAGAGUAUGGGAUGCUUCGGAAGUUCCAGGGAGCACAUGGGAAUAAGUGGACCCUCUUGGCCAACGAACUUGGGAAACAUCCGGAUCAUGUUGGAAAUGCAUGGGAUAGGAUAAAACUGGAAAAUCGAAAGAGAGGACAGUGGGAUCAGGAGGAAGUACAGAAAUUGUUUGAUUUAGUAAACACCGAU